GAUGAACGCUGGCGGCGUGCCUAAUACAUGCAAGUCGAGCGAACAGACGAGGAGCUUGCUCCUCUGACGUUAGCGGCGGACGGGUGAGUAACACGUGGAUAACCUACCUAUAAGACUGGGAUAACUUCGGGAAACCGGAGCUAAUACCGGAUAAUAUAUUGAACCGCAUGGUUCAAUAGUGAAAGACGGUUUUGCUGUCACUUAUAGAUGGAUCCGCGCCGCAUUAGCUAGUUGGUAAGGUAACGGCUUACCAAGGCAACGAUGCGUAGCCGACCUGAGAGGGUGAUCGGCCACACUGGAACUGAGACACGGUCCAGACUCCUACGGGAGGCAGCAGUAGGGAAUCUUCCGCAAUGGGCGAAAGCUUGACGGAGCACGCCGCGUGAGUGAUGAAGGUCUUCGGAUCGUAAAACUCUGUUAUUAGGGAAGAACAAAUGUGUAAGUAACUAUGCACGUCUUGACGGUACCUAAUCAGAAAGCCACGGCUAACUACGU
rnacentral:rRNA from 1 species